rnacentral:rRNA from 1 species
UACGUAGGGGGCUAGCGUUGUCCGGAAUCAUUGGGCGUAAAGCGCGUGUAGGCGGCCCGGUAAGUCCGCUGUGAAAGUCGGGGGCUCAACCCUCGGAUGCCGGUGGAUACUGUCGGGCUUGAGUACGGAAGAGGCGAGUGGAAUUCCUGGUGUAGCGGUGAAAUGCGCAGAUAUCAGGAGGAACACCGAUUGCGAAGGCAGCUCGCUGGGACGUUACUGACGCUGAGACGCGAAAGCGUGGGGAGCAAACAGG